rnacentral:lncRNA from 1 species
CCCGGUUUUUGUAUCUGACCCUUUGGCUUCCAGCUUUAACUCUUUCAGGACCUUUUCUGGCGGCAGAGUCUACUCUGCCAGUGCUGGGGUCAGUCCACAACUGCCAAGAAGGAAAAUCCUUCAUCCUUACUCAAGUGCUGCCUUCAUCCGCAGACAGGGUGAUGAGCACUGUCUGGGCCCUCGCUCUGCGUUCUCUGCCAUUCACGAAUCCCUGACAAGCCCGAGGAAUGGAUUUAGAAGCGUCCACUUUACUGAAAGAUACGGAGCCAUAAAUAGUAUAAGAACAUGGAAGACCUUUACCUGCAAGUCAGAAAACCUG